GCGCGACGCGGGCGCAAUGGCGGGGACCGGGGGCUUGAUGCUGCUUGGGCCUGGCCCAGUGGCGGGUCCUAGGGACGUGGGUACCUGCAGAGGCCGGCAGAUGGAGAUUCAGAAACAUAAGGACAACAAGAAACUUCCCCAAGGUAUCAUUAUAGUCUUUAGACUUCAGACACACACCACACCUCAAAUAUAUACACAACUGAAAGGAAAAUUAAGGAAGUUUUUCAAAGAACCCUAUUCCGAGUAAGAAAUGUGUUGCAUGAAUUUCUAAGGUCAAAGAUGUUGAUUCAUUCAUAGGGUGAGGCCCAGAAAUCUGCAUUUUUAAACAAGUACCCUGGACAUUUCUAAAGCUGGCUAAAGUUUGAGAGACACUAUCCAAGGGAAAUUUCUCCGUAACUCUUUUUCUCAGAAGAAAAGUAAACUAAAAGUAAAAAUAAGCAGUACCACUAAGUUUCAAGUGAUCUUCUCCUAAAAGAAGAAAAGGCCUAUAUUCAGGCACAAGAAAAGUAUAUUCUCUUUUAUCCAUGCAGAAAACAGCUAGUGGUUGAAAAUCAACACUUCAGACCUCUUGUCUACAUAAAGCCAACUGCCCCUUUGUUUUACUGAUGUCUUCAAUGAUUUUACUUAGAUUUUUCUACGGCAUUUACUGAAUUAGCUAAGCAGACACAGAUCCAGUCCUUUAUGAAUAUGGUUUGGAGACUCUCUACUGAAUCAGCACUCUUAGCUUCACCGACAUAGUCUCUUGGUAGACCAGAAGGUGUAUCUUAUCUGGAAAGACUGCUAUAUCUACACCCACAAAAAGCAUUAUUUAUCUGAACACUAAAUUCUGACUUCCUUGCCAUUUUAGGGAGCCACUUUAAAACAUUUUCAGUAUUUGCUAUUUUGUAGCAGCAAAUCCUUCAGAGGGAGGUCAAGUGAUGGCCUUUAUCUGUUCCCAGUGUCUUGCCCUUAGGUCCUCAGGGCACCCCCUGGACAGCAGCCUUAGGAACCAGGUACAAAGCACAAGCACUGCUGGUCCGCGUGAUAAGGAAUCACUUCCAGACUGGGCCUUCCCAUGGGCUUCCCUGAGCUUCCUGGACUCAAAUCAUAGUCCUUCUUUUCCUCUCCCCUUUGGACUUGAUAAACGCAGUCCCAUUCAUUUAAUCUCCAACUUAGAAAUCCGGAGAAUGUGAGCCCUGGGAUUAACUUUCAGACACCCUCGUCGAUAACCUUGGCCACUUAGGUUGCUGCAGCCUGUCCCCAGGGAGACAGUUAGAAUGGAACAAUGACACAAACAACACCAACAAUAACAACAGCAGCAGAAGCAGAAGCAACAAUAGUAGAACGAGAAAUAAUUUAUAACAUGCUUACUACAUGCCAGGCACUAAGUGCUUACCCAUAGUAACUCAGUUAAUUCUUAUAACAACCAGAUGAGGUAGAUUUUCUUAUUAUCCCCAUUUUACAAAUGAGCAAACAGAGGCACAAGCAGGUUAAGAAACCUCCCCAAGGUUAAACAGUGAGAAACAGCAAAGAUUUGAACAGUGAGAAACAGCAAAGAUUUGAAACAGCAAAGAUUUGAACCUAUUGUUCGGGAGUCCAUGCUGUUACUCAUUUCUUUAUGCUGCCAUAAUCUAAUAUAAAAUUGAAUAACAAUAAAUGCACCUUAUAUUUGUAUAGCUAUACACACUAAUUUACAUGAUCUUCAUAAGAACUAUGAAAUGGCUGUGAUUAUCCCCAUUUUAAAAAUGAUACUAUAAAGGCAUAAAAUGCUGUAUUUAUGGUAUGCAACCCUUUGGUGAACAACCCUAUAAAUAUUUAAUUACUUAUAUUGAUGUUCUUCCUACGUCUAAGAAAAAUGUUAUUUCCAUUCCCAAGAUGUUAGUAGAGACGAAGAUUUUUCAAUUUGUCUCCUUGAUUUUGUUGGAUUAUAGCAUUAAAGUUAUUUUUACAAAGCCAUCUACGGUAACCCAGUAGAAAGGGUAAGCCUAUUGGCUUAGGAAAACUGAAUGGCAUUCAGUUUCUUCAAAGAAAUUUGGGACAGAUGUGGGUUUUUUUUCUUCUUCUUCUUCAACAAAUCCAGAAGAUGAAAAAUGUAUUUUAUUUCUUGUGAAAUGCAUUUUUCUGUUCAUCUCAGUAUGUGGGACUGUUGAAGUUUAUAAGUUUGGCAGUGUUCUAACAUGGCCAUCCUGUUCUCCUUUAGCAACUUAUUAAAUGUAUUUUUUUUAAUGAAAACAGAA
rnacentral:antisense_RNA from 1 species